rnacentral:misc_RNA from 1 species
GAUGAAGAACGUAGUGAAAUGCGAUAAGUAAUGUGAAUUGCAGAAUUCAGUGAAUCAUCGAAUCUUUGAACGCACAUUGCGCCCAUUAGUAUUCUAGUGGGCAUGCCUGUUCGAGCGUCAUUUCAACCCUUAAGCCUAGCUUAGUAUUGGGAAUCGACUUUACUGUCGUUCCUCAAAUUCAACGGCGGAUUUAAAGCAAUCUCUGAACGUAGUAAUUUUUUUCCUCGUUUUUGAAAUACUAUAAACCUCAGCCGCUAAACCCCCAAUUUUUUUAUGGUUGACCUCGGAUCAGGUAGGAAUACCCGCUGAACUUAAGCAUAUCAAUAAGCGGAGGA